GGCUGUCUGCAGGGGAGGAAACUGAAGAUCAGAGAGGUUAGACAGCUCGCUCAAGGUCACCAGCUGGCCAAGGGGGAGACCAACUUGACCGGAGGUCUCCAGUGUCCAAGUCACAAGCUCUUUGCACCGCCUCGGACAGCCCAGGUGUCAAGUUGUCUCAACUUCCCAUGAAUUUUUAAGGCAAGCGCAACUUCUCACUGUCUCCCCGCAGGUACCUGGUAAACCAUCCCCUGUCGCCUGCGGAACGGGGAGGGUUUACUGGCGCUGGAGUUCAUGCCAGGCCCAGGAAAUGCCAUCUUUGAAAGCCGAGAGGCGGAUUCGCCCGGGGAGCUCAGAAGGUCUGGCCGCCGAGCUUGGCUGGCUCCCCACGGGCGGCGCCC